AACCCAUGGUAAGGGUACCUACUUAAUAAAUCCUUAUACCUCUCUCAUGCAUCAUAUAGGGUCUCUAAGUCCAUCUGUACAAAGAAAGAGAUAUCAUUCCUCAACUU
rfam:Gossypium arboreum cultivar AKA8401 contig_49042_1, whole genome shotgun sequence.